rnacentral:lncRNA from 1 species
UCUGGGCUCAGGGUUCGUGCCGCGCCGCAAAGGUGGGGGUGGCGCGUCUUGCUCCUCAUCGUUUGCCAGGGACGGUUGGGUCGGAGCAAGCAGGAGAGCGCCGCGGAGUCACCAGCGGCGACAAUGAGCUCCUCGAUGCGCUGGAGCCAGUCGUCGUGGCAGUCAGGAGCAAGCCGGUAGCGAAGCAGCUCGGUGGCCAUGGCAAGCACGCGCCGGCCGUGGGGCAUCUCUGGCCGGGCGCGCGAUACCGACCCUGAAGGCCGGACGAGUGACGGAUUGGCG